UAAAUGAAAGCCAAAAAGAGGCACCUAGCUGUUAAUUAGGAGAAUGUAAUAAAUUUUACUCAUUUAG
rnacentral:tRNA from 1 species